UACGUAGGAGGCAAGCGUUGUCCGGAAUUACUGGGUGUAAAGCGCGUGUAGGCGGCAGACCAAGUCGGCGGUGAAAGCGCCCGGCUCAACUGGGCGAGGUCCGUGGAAACUGGUCAGCUGGAGGACGGUAGAGGCGAGUGGAAUUCCCGGUGUAGUGGUGAAAUGCGUAGAGAUCGGGAGGAACACCUGUGGCGAAGGCGGCUCUCUGGGACGGUACUGACGCUGAGACGCGAAAGCGUGGGGAGCGAACAGG
rnacentral:rRNA from 1 species